GGAAUAUUGCACAAUGGACCUAAAGUACUGAUGCAGCAACGCCGCGUGGAGGAUGACACAUUUCGGUGCGUAAACUCCUUUUAUAUGAGAAGAUAAUGACGUUCCUCAUAUGAAUAAGCACCGGCUAACUCCGUGC
rnacentral:rRNA from 1 species